rnacentral:sRNA from 1 species
UAUUCGGACUUCAUGCUGGACUACUUACAU